UAAAAAUUAGUUAAAUUUUAUAACAUAAGUUUGUCAAACUUAAAUUGUUUUCUAAACAUUUUUAU
rnacentral:tRNA from 1 species